AACGCGAAGAACCUUACCUGGGCUCGAACGGCUUCUUAACGCCGGUGGAAACACCGGUAUCCCGCAAGGGAGUGGAGUCGAGGUGCUGCAUGGCUGUCGUCAGCUCGUGUCGUGAGAUGUUGGGUUAAGUCCCGCAACGAGCGCAACCCUUGUCCUGUGUUGCCAUCAUUUAGUUGGGAACUCGCAGGAGACCGCCAGCGAUAAGCUGGAGGAAGGUGGGGAUGACGUCAAGUCCUCAUGGCCUUUAUGUCCAGGGCCACACACGUGCUACAAUGGGCGGUACAAAGCGCUGCCAACCCGCGAGGGGGAGCUAAUCGCCAAAAACCGUCCUCAGUUCGGAUUGCAGGCUGCAACUCGCCUGCAUGAAGCUGGAAUCGCUAGUAAUGCUAUAUCAGAACGAUAGCGUGAAUACGUUCCCGGGCCUUGUACACACCGCGCAUA
rnacentral:rRNA from 1 species